rnacentral:rRNA from 1 species
GGAAAAAAAAUCUUUUCUUAAAUUUGAGGACUUUAAGUCUUAAUAUCUAAAAAUUUUAAAAAAAGAAUGAGUUACUUUAGGGAUAACAGCUUAAUUCGCUUAGAAAGUUCUAAUCGACAAGCGAGUUUGUGACCUCGAUGUUGAAUUAAAAAACCUUUUUGGUGCAAAAGUCAAGAAAGGAGGUCUGUUCGACCUUUAAAUUUUUCCAUGAUUUGAGUUCAAACCGGUGUAAGCCAGGUUGGUUUCUAUCUUAAGAAAAUUAGGAAGUAAAUUAGUACGAAAGGACCAUUUAUUUAAAAUUUUUUUAU